rnacentral:rRNA from 1 species
UACGACUACAUAUCAGGCAUAUCAAUAAGCGGAGGAAAAGAAACUAACAAGGAUUCCCCUAGUAACGGCGAGUGAAGCGGGAAGAGCUCAAAUUUGAAAUCUUCAAGGUUCUACCUUGACGAAUUGUAGUUUAAAGAAGUGUUUUCGGUUAGAGGAGUAGUGAAAGUUCUUUGGAAUAGGACAUCAUAGAGGGUGAGAAUCCCGUAUUUGACUAUUCUUUCUAGCUUUGUGAUACACUUUCAAAGAGUCGGAUUGUUUGGGAAUGCAGUCCAAAAUGGGUGGUAAAUUUCAUCUAAAGCUAAAUAUUGGCGAGAGACCGAUAGCGAACAAGUACCGUGAGGGAAAGAUGAAAAGAACUUUGAAAAGAGAGUUAAACAGUACGUGAAAUUGUCAAAAGGGAAGCGUUUGACACCAGUGUUGUUUUUCCGAAAAUCAAUUAAAAAUAGAUUCAUGCUAAGUAGUAUUGACCUCAUCAGCUUGCUGCUUAGUUUUGGGUCAUUUAUUGAUGCACUUUUCAGGUUAACAAGUCAACAUCAAUUUCUUUUGUUGUAAAAGGGUAGAAGGAAGGUGGCUUGCGCUUCGGCUGCAAGUGUUUAUAGCCUUUAUGCCUCUGCAGGUCGGAGAGAUUGAGGUCUGCAGCGUAGAUCCUUCGGGGUUAGAUACGUUUGUGCUAAGCUAUAGCCUUGUAUAGACAACAUUGUUGACUAUGCUUCAGUCAUGUAGCUUACUCGCAUGAUAGCUAUUUUACCUACGCUUAGGAUGUUGACACACGCGCGUGCUCG